AUGUCGUGGCAGACUUACGUGGACGAGCACCUGAUGUGCGACAUCGAGGGCCACCACCUCGCCUCCGCCGCCAUCCUCGGCCACGACGGCACCGUCUGGGCCCAGAGCGCCGACUUCCCGUCGGUACGUAAGCCAAGAAUGGCGAAUCCACUUGUUGCUAUUUGGCGCCUGCAUGAGCCAUGCUUCGACGAUCUUGACAUGUUUGCAUGCGUGAUCCAGUUCAAGCCGGAGGAGAUGACCAACAUCAUGAAGGACUUCGACGAGCCGGGGACCCUCGCCCCGACCGGGCUGCUACUCGGAGACGCCAAGUACAUGGUCAUCCAGGGUGAACCUGGCGCCGUCAUCCGCGGCAAGAAGGGCGCGGGAGGCAUCACCCUGAAGAAGACCGGGCAGGCGCUGGUGGUCGGCAUCUACGACGAGCCCAUGACCCCGGGGCAGUGCAACCUGGUGGUGGAGAGGCUGGGCGACUACCUGGUAGAGCAGGGCAUGUAG
rnacentral:rRNA from 1 species